UGAAAAAAAAAAAAAAGGACUCACUUGAAUUUUCUUCCUACUGAAAUGAGGAGAGAUUUCAACAAAAGUUGGAAACUUCAAUGCAAUACAAUUCUACUUCCAAUAUGAAAUAAACCCAUCUCCGGCGGAAAUAAACCCAACUCCGGCAGAAAUAAACCCAACUCCGGCGGAAAUAAACCCAAUUCCGGCAAAAAUAAACCCAUCUCCGGCGAAAAAUCCGGUAACAAUUUUGUGUAUUUGAAGAAUGAGUUGAGGAAAGAAGUGGGUUGAUGGCAUUUUGGUCAUACUUUUUGGGAAAAAGAUUUUUUGAGAAAUUCAACUCACAAUUGCUGAAGGCUGUGAAAGAUGCAUUUAACCGGCACCAAAUUCGGCAUCUGCUCACUGCAAGAAACUCAGGUAAAAUGGAUCAGAUAUCGAGCCUAAACUUAAUAGGCUACAGUAUGUUAAGAUUCUUCAGAAUCAGGGUAGAGAUGAUGCUUUAAAAUAUACAAGACCUUAUCUAUCUCCGCUUGCUUCCUCUUAUAGGGCCGAAAUCCAAUAGUUGAUGGCAUGCCGUUAAUGGGCCAGUAAACUCGAUAACGAAGGUCUCGAGGAGUGGUACACAGACCUUCAACAGCCCUUACUGCUCUUCUGAGAUUAAGGCUUCCCACUGUAAACAGUAUGACAGGACUUUUUACUUUCUAGACUUGCAACAUUUCUCAUAUUUCCUUUUUUCACCUGAAACAUAAGAAGUCGCUCCUGUGAAGUUAUCUUGUGUGUGAUUAUGUGCAACUUUUUGUUUCUUUGGGUGGUAGUUUCCUCCGGAAAUUCCCUUUGAUGGAUCUUGUGUUUGUGCAUAUAUAUAUAUACAUUCUCUGUAUUACUUUA